AUGCCUACUGUUUUUGCAGUUGUCAUGUGUAAUUGUGGGAGAAUGCACCCCAGAUUUAUAGAAGGAUUUUUUUGGCAACAACUGCAGUUACUGUGUCAUUUUAAGACGUUUGAAGUGAGAGCUAAAUACACAUCCCAAAUCAAAGAUCUGAGAAUGGGUAGUGGAGAGGAGAAACCUACAUAGACUCAUGAUGUUCCUCUCCCCGGCCUCAGCUAUUAAUAGUAGCUUUAAGGCAGAGGUAAAAUGAAAUUUCUCAUGUGCUCAUGUCACUGAAAGAUUCUGAGAAGCAGCAAUAGGUCUUUUGUUGUAGGAAAGUUCUUGGAUUUUCAAUUAGAUCAUUCUUGGAAAGACAAUACAACUUCUAUACUAUCUCAAGGUGUGAAUAAGUGGGUUCCAAGUUCCUAUUUAAACUCAUAAGUUAUAAAUGCAUAUUAAGUAUAAGAAGCCUUUAUUUCAUUCCACAAAAUAUUUCAAAAUAAAGGACUUUUAGAAAUCCAUGAAAAGCUGAUAUAAUUCUCUUCCUCUUUCUGUUAUUUUUUGUCUUCCCCUUAGGAACCUAUAAUCUCUCAUUGAAGUGGUAGCCAUUGAAGUGUUAGCUAUGGAAAGAUGAAUCAAUUGACUAAAUGAUGAGAGUUUAUUUCUGCCUUCUAAAAAGAGUCAAACUAAGGCAUUGUUGAUGGAAUUGUGAACUAAUUCAAAUAUUCUGGAAAACAAUUUGGAACUGUACCCACAGAGCUAUAAAACUGUGCAUACCCUUUGAUCUAACAAUAAAAUUAUCCCAAAGAGAUCAUAAAAAAGGGGAAAGGACCACAUGUAUGAAAAUCUUUUUUAAAAAAAUUUUAAAAUUAUUUUUAUAAUAGAAUUUUAUUAUUCAAAAGAUAGUUUUCAAAAUUCACCCUUGACAAACCUUGUGUUUCAUAUUUUUCUCCCUCCCUCCUUACCUCUCCCCUCCCCCAGACAGCAAGUAAUUAAAGAUGUUAAACAUGUGCAAUUCUUCUAAAUAUAUUUCCACAUUUAUCAUGCUGUGCAAGAAAAACCAGAUCAAAAAGGGGGAAAAAAUGAGGAAAAAAGCAAGCAAACAAUGAAAAAGAUAAAAAUACUAAGUUGUGAUUCACAUUCAGUCCCCAGAGUCCUCUCUCUGGAUCCAGAUGGCUCUGUCCAUCACAAGUCUAUUGGAAUUAGCCUGAGUCACCUCAUUGUGUAAAAAAACAAUAUUUAUUGCAACUCUUUUUGUGGUGGUAAAGAAUUGGAAAUUGAGGGGAUGCCCAUCAAUUGGGCGAAUGGCAGAACAAGAUAUGGUUUAUGCAUGUAUUGGAAUACUAUUGUUUUAUUAAAAAUGAUGAGCAGGCUGAUUUCAGAAAAAUCUGAAAAGACAUGAACUGAUGCUGAGUGAAGUGAGCAGAAUGAGGAGAACAUUGUACACAAUAAUAGCAACAUUGAGUGAUGAUCAACUCUGAUGACUUUAAUUCUUCUCAAUUGUACAGUGAUCCAGCACAAUUCCGAAAGAUGUGAUGAAAAGUGCCAUCUACAUCUAUAAAAAGAACUAUGGAGAUUAGAUACAGAUUUGUGCAGACCGUGUAUUUUUAAAUCAGCAGGAGGCAGGAAUUCAGGUUAGGGGAAAAUCAUCAGUCUUUAUUCUCAGUGAAGAAGGAUCAGAGGUGGAAGAGAAUCGGCGAUAGCAAUGUGUGCAGCUGAGUCAAGAAGCUAGCUAGACCAGCAGCCACACGACCAGCAGCUAGGAGUCUCGAACCCAGGCCCAAUCUCUCCCAGCUUCUCUUCCUGUCUCUCUCUGCCUCCACCCACCAAAAUCGUCAUUUCCUAUACAACACAUCAGGACUUGCACGGAGAGUGGGCAGGGACCAUUCUUUAUCCAAUCAUGUAUAUUAAUAGAGUAUAGCCCAAUUACUAUUUAGCCUCACAUACUUGGGACCUCAGUGCAUCAACUCAAACCUCAGCCCAUUACAUCUCCCGCUUUCUUUUAUUUUAGAACACAGGUGGUCAUGCCAUCCCUGACUCCUCAGGGAAAUCAGAGCCCCCAAGGGGAGGUGAUCACAGCCUCCCUAACUUCUCAGGGAAGGCAGUGAAAGCACUAAAAAGGAGAUGAUCAUGCCCUCCCUGACAUCUCAGGAAGGGAGAUGAAAAGCACCAAAGGGAAGUGGGGGUUGCUAGCGGGUUUCUGGGCUGAAGGGUCUUAUUAUGCACAAACCCAUCAGCAUGGGAGGUAUUACACAAGCACAUAGCAAUAACGCAGAGGCUAUUAGGGAUGACUCUCCCCACAGUCAGUGCAGGCUCGAUGUGGUGUAACAAACAUGAAUUGUACAUGCAAGUAGCAGAAUAGCAAACAAUAUAAAUCAACAUGGUGUUGGAAAAGAUCACCAGAAGUCCUAGAAGGAGGGUAUGUAAACAACAGUCACACAUACACCUUCUUCAGCAGCCAAGAGAUAGUCCAAAACCAAUCUAUUGUCCAUUGCUUCACAUGUCAGGGAAUCCAAUGAUCCCCCUGAGUUUUUGAAGUCCUGCAAAAGUCUUUUUAUGUGUUAGGGAAUCCAAUGAUUCCAGCAGAUUUUGAAGUCCUGUAACAGUCUUAUCAUUUCUCAGAGAAUCCAAUGAUUCCUGAGAGUUUUCAAGUCCUAUGUCUCAGAGAAUCCAAUGAUUCCUGAGGGUUUUCAAGUCCUAUGUCUCAGAGAAUCCAAUGAUUCCUGAGGGUUUUCAAGUCCUAUGUCUCAGAGAAUCCAAUGAUUCCUGAGGGUUUUGAAGUCCAACAAUCUUUGAUGUCCAUGAGUCAAACGCCAUAACUGCCACGCUCUUUCAAUGGUGAGCACAAUCAGCAACAGAACCACCCGAUAUUUCUUGGGUCUUCUCCUUUGUUUCAAGGGUCUGCUCUGUCUCUCUGCAAUGGACAAGGCGAAUAUGGCUCGUUGGCACCCAUCUGAUUCCUUCUCCACCUGUAGAGAUACAAGCAAACCCUCUCCCCAAAGCAGUUAGCCUAUCUGGUCCUUUCCAUUCACCACUUUCUGGGUCUCUCCACAUCACCUGGCGAUUAUCUAAAGAUAGUGGAGCUGCUCGCACUGGACACUGCCCUUCCAGUGGGUUAUAAAACCUGUCUGCUGGAGCCAGUGCAUCUUUGUCAAAAAUCAAGAAGUUAAUAGUAUAAAGGGCUAGAUUUAGAAGUUCUCUAGGGUUACCUGUGGCUCCCCCUUUCUUUUGUUUUUGGAGGAGCGUCUUAAUAUCUCUGUUUCUCCUCUCUACUAUUGCCUGUCCUUGAGGAUUAAAAGGUAUGCCCGUGGUGUGUAAAAUCUUAUACUGUGCACAAAAGUGUGCAAAAUGUUUUGAAGUAUAAGCAGGACCAUUGUCUGUUUUUAUUGCUUGUGGCACACCCAUAAUGGCAAAUGCUUGUGUGAGGAAUUCAGUGACCACUCGGGCUGUCUCUUUUGCUGCUGGUAUUGCAAAAGUGAAUCCCGAAAAGGUGUCUACCACAACGUGGAUGAAAGACAGACGACCAAAAGAUUUAUAAUGGGUCACAUCCAUUUGCCAGAUUUCAUUGGGUCUCAAACCACGAGGGUUCUUCCCUGGAGGCAGUGUAGGAGCGUGGAAAGGAAGGCAAGCUGUACAGGCUUUUACUAUGCUCCUAGCUUCCUCUCUUGUUAUUCCAAAUUGUAAACGUAAAGCUCGAGCAGCCUGAUGAUAUUUAGAAUGAGAUGCCUGGGCUUCCUGGAAUAAAGGGGUAUUGACCAACAUAGUUAGAAGGCUAUCUUCCUUUGAAUUGCCAUCAAAUAUGGGACCUGGAAGUCCACUAUGAGAAUGGACAUGUAAUAUAUAGAUCUUACCUGGAUGCUUUCUCACUUGCUCUUGAAGUUUCUUAAAGAGCUGAUAUAUAUUAGAGGCUACAAAUUUUAUUUGGGCUGUGGCAAUUCUUUGUGCGGCACCUACUGAAUAGGCCGAAUCAGAUAUUAUAUUUAUGUCUCCUGGAUAAUAAGUAAGAGCUAGAAUGAUCACGUACAAUUCAUUCUGCUGAGUGGACUGAAAAGGAGUUCUGACUACUCUAUUUAUAGUUAGAUCAUGAGAGUACACAGCACAAAUAUUAUGUUUGGAUGCAGGAUCACCUCCUUUUCGGUGCUUUCACCUCCUUCCCUGAGAAGUUAGGGAGGCUGUGAUCACCUCCCCUUGGGGGCUCUGAUUUCCCUGAGGAGUCAGGGAUGGCAUGACCACCUGUGUUCUAAAAUAAAAGAAAGCGGGAGAUGUAAUGGGCUGAGGUUUGAGUUGAUGCACUGAGGUCCCAAGUACGUGAGGCUAAAUAGUAAUUGGGCUAUACUCUAUUAAUAUACAUGAUUGGAUAAAGAAUGGUACCUGCCCACUCUCCGUGCAAGUCCUGAUGUGUUGUAUAGGAAAUGAUGAUUUUGGUGGGUGGAGGCAGAGAGAGACAGGAAGAGAAGCUGGGAGAGAUUGGGCCUGGGUUCGAGACUCUUA
rnacentral:lncRNA from 1 species